UUAUAUAUCUCUUCUAUUAAACAAAUAAACUCUCUUUUUCUUUAAAUUGUGAUUUCCUGUAAUGUAGUCAGUUGGUCGUGUGAUGGAAUCAUGAAAACGACCUUUUCUGAAGAUAAAGCAUAUUAUGUUGUUAGACACCUAAACAUUAUAUCUACGUAGAUAAUAAAUAUAUUACUUUCUUUAGGAUGGCAGAUCAAAUUUCAAUUAGAAGUUACAUUCAGCGAUUGAAUAUCUAAGUAUUUUGUUAUUGCUGAUGUAGUUAAUCUGCCAAUCGACUAAUAGGAUGUGUUUUGUCAAAUAUUAGGUGCUUAUAUUACAUUAUACGUUUGAAAUAAAUUCAUGAAUAGUAUAAACUGAAAUUUAGAAGAAAAAGAGCUGGCAAGAAAAUUUUAUUAGGCCAUUCAACCUUUCAUCCGGUCUAAUGACAUCUACCUAUUUUCUAAAAAAUCACUUUUAGGCAUUACUAACUACAGAUAUUUGUAUAAGUGUAUUUUACCAUCAAAAAGAGGUUGUGGCGCAGCGUAUCAACGGUAACUCAGCUCAAAUCUAAAGAUUUAGGUUAAAUCUUUAGAGACCUGACUUCUUGAAUCGAAGAACUUAAUCAAAUUCGAUACAAGGCUCUCGUAUUGACGACAGAAUCGAAUCAAUGCAAGGCUUUAGAGAAACUCUAGUUUAUUAUCUUUCAAAAACUACUUAUCAAAGCAAACUUACAAUCCCUUAUAUAGGAUCCUAGAGACGGUUUAUAAUAACCUAACUCUGUUAAAAAUAGGAAAUCUAAUAAAAGGAAUUCAUAACUAGAAAAGGAAAUCUUCAAAAAACCGAAAUAGAAAAAACAGUUGCUUGGUGGUGAAGGUAUCAUGAUGCUGCAUCAGGUCCCCCGGGGUGAGAAAGAUUCGACCUCGAAUCAGGAACCGGAUCCGGUGGAGCAUAGCGAGAGAGAUAACGAACAUUGAAUACAUCCGAGGUAGUGAUAUGAGCUGGAAGUUGCAGACGAUAUACAUUAUCAUUAAUACGCUCCAGGACUGUGAGAGGACCUAUUUUCUUUGCCUUGAGUUUGUUAUAAGCAUGAGCUGGCAUACGAUCCUUAGUGAGAAACGCCCAAACUUGAUCACCAACUUCAAAUAUGACACGGCGACGAUGAGAAUCAGAUGCUGCUUUGUACUUUGACGAGGAGGACUGAAGAUUGGUGAUAACCUGCGCAUGAACUUGAUGAAUAUUGUCGACAAAAUCAGCAGCGACUCCAUGAAGACGGGUAUGGUCGGGAAGAGUAGUUAAAUCCAAAGGACCACGAGGAAGAAGACCAUAAACGACCUGAAAUGGACUGAAACCUGAACUUCGAUUGAGUGCAUGAUUAUGAGCAAACUCUGCUUGAGGAAGUUUUGAAUCCCACGAUUUAAUGGAAUCACCAACAAGACAUCGUAGCAAGUUACCCAACGAUCUAUUGGUCACCUCUGUUUGACCGUCCGUUUGGGGAUGAUAAGCCGAACUCAUGUCGAGACUGGUGCCGAGAAGCUUCCAAAGAGAUCGCCAGAAGUGACCCAAGAAGCGUGAAUCACGGUCUGAGACAAUAGAAGUAGGCAACCCAUGAAGUCUAUAAACCUCACGGAAGAAGAGUGUCGCAACUUGAACUGCAUCCGUCGUUUUUUUACAGGGAACAAAGUGCACCAUUUUGGAGAAUCGAUCCACGACAACAAAGAUUGAAUCAAACCCUUUUUGUGUACGAGGAAGACCCAUGACGAAAUCCAUACUGAUAUCAGUCCACGGUUGCGUUGGUAUAGGUAAUGGCAUGUAGAGACCAGCGUUUGUAGCAUGUCCUUUCGAUGUUUGACAGGUCGUGCAUCUCUCCACAAAACGCUCAACAUCGCGUCUUAGAGCCGGCCAGAAAUAUGACGCAGAGAUCAAAUGCAAUGUUCUGUCGCGUCCUAUAUGACCCUCAUUAUGUGUUUCAGCGAUUAGUUGAAGACGGAGGCUACAAUCCGGAACGCAGAGAAGGUCGCCACGAAAAAGAAACCCAUCAUGAAGAGUGAAAUCGCGGGAUACGCCAUUCUGAACAUCAAGAAGAAUCCGACCAAAAUAUUCAUCAGACUCGUAUAAGUCAGAAAAAGCUGCAAAGCCGGGAACUGAAACAUGAAGAACACCCAGCAAAGAACGACGUCGGCUUAGUGCGUCAGCCACUCGAUUGGAGAUACCCGACGUGUGCUUGAUAACAAAAGUAAACUGUUGUAAAUAAGACACCCACGAGGCAUGACGAGCCGAGACCUUAUCUUGACUACUCAAGUGUUUUAACGCAUCGUGAUCUGUAUAGAGAACAAAUUCUUUAUGAAAAAGAUAAUGUCUCCAGUGCUUGAUUGCUUGAACCACGGCAUAAAACUCCACAUCAUAAGUACUAUAACGUAAACGAGCUCCUGCCAGCUUUUCACUGAAGAAGGCGAUAGGCCGGUUUCGCUGACUCAAGACAGCACCGAUUCCCAACUUAGAAGCAUCACAAUGGAGUUCAAAGACCUGGGUAAAAUCAGGUAGAACAAGGAUAGGAGCUGAAAUCAACUUUGAUUUGAUAAUCUCAAACGCGGUGGCUGCGGCGGGAGUCCAUGCGAAGACACCAUCCCGUCGAAUACAAUCCGUGAGAGGCGCCAUUAAGCUGCUAAACUGUGGCACAAAUCUUCGAUAAAAAGAUGCGAGACCAUGGAAGCUUCGUGUCUCAGAUAAUGUAGAUGGAGUUGGCCACGUUUUAAUUGCAUCUACUUUACUAGGAUCCACAGCGAGUCCUUCUGCGGAAACAAUGUAGCCGAGAAAGUGGACUUUAGGAGAGCCGAACUCACACUUCUUCAUCGUCGCAUAGAAUUGAUCACGACGAAGGAUAAGAAGGACUGCUUCCAAGUGUUCUAGAUGCUCGGCUAAUGACUUACUGAAUAUCAGAAUAUCAUCAAAGUAAACCACCACAAAUUUACCAAUAAACGGCCGAAGAGACUGAUUCAUAACCCGCAUGAAGGUACUAGGGGCAUUGGAAAGCCCGAAAGGCAUAACGAGCCAUUCAAACAGCCCUUCUCUGGUUUUGAAUGCUGUCUUCCACUCAUCACCCGGUUGAAUACGGAUUUGAUGGUAUCCACUGCGAAGAUCGAGUUUAGAAAAGGUUGUUGCAGCACCAAUUUGGUCUAAUAGAUCAUCAAGACGUGGUAUUGGAAAUCGAUAGCGGACUGUAAUUUUAUUGAUAGCACGGCUAUCGACACACAUUCUCCAUGAUCCAUCUUUUUUUGGUAUGAGCAAAGCUGGAACUGCACACGGACUCAAACUCUCGCGCAAGUAGCCUUUCGUGAUGAGAUCCUCAACUUGUCGUUGCAGUUCUUCAUGCUCACUUGGACUCAUACGGUAAUGAGCUCGAUUAGGUAGGAUAGCAUCUGGAACUAGAUCAAUACGGUGUUGAAUAUCUCUUAGAGGAGGAAGGCCAGUUGGUAACUCGUCGGGGAAGACGUCCUGAAACUUGGUCAACAGACCUUUAAAGCUAUCCGGAAUUUGUGGUAAAGAUGUGUUGACUGGUGAGUUCAGCAGGAUCAGAACACGUCCCUCUUCUCGCAUCUCUUGCUCAAAAGGUUUGCGUUGGAGAAUAAGGACUGGUGAGGACGGUAAACUCUGUUUCUCAGGUAAAGAUGGUUGCAGUGUGAAGUUUUUAUCGUUGAAACGGAAGCUAUAGGUAUUGUGAUAACCAUCGUGUUUUACUCGAUGAUCAAAUAGCCAAGGGCGUCCUAAGAGAAGAUGACAAGCGUCCAUCGGUGCUACAUCACAAUAAAUUUGAUCCUGGAAUGUGCCACCAACUGAAUAUGAUAUGAGAGCACGUCGAGUAAUGGUCAAGUCUGUCUUCUUGUCUAGCCAUGCGAGUUUAUAUGGAUAUGGAUGAAGUUCUGUUGUCAGAUUGAGUUUGUUGACAACGUCCUCUGCCACUACGUUUUCACUACUUCCCGAGUCAAUAAUAAAUUUGCAAACCUUGCCGGCAAUAGUACACUUCGAGUGGAACAGGUUAUGGCGUUGUGGAUUGUCAUCAAUAUGGCGUGGAGCAAGGCAAACACGUCGCAUCAUCAAACAAGGACCCGUAUCUGCGAUCAGGUCCUCUGUUUCUUCUAGAUUUUCGGCAAUUUCCUCAUCAUAAAUAACCUCUACGUCCUUGCCAGCGGCAUCAAGAAGAAGUCCCCUGCGAUUUCUUUUUGGACAAUUGGCUUGUCGAUGACCAAUCUCUCCGCAAGCGAAACAUCGUAGUGAAGAUGGUCGAGUUGCUGUCUUAUCCGUCAAAGGCACGAGGGCAGUUUCAGCUUGUUGAGGAAGCGAAUCAUCGGCUAAAUUUGUAGACUGCUGUUGCUGAAUAGGUCGGGUAGUACGAGACGCAGACCAAGAGUAAUUGCUUUUAGUUUGAGAUUCAAUGGUGAGUGCCUGUUGGUGAGCUUCUGAUAAGGUCAGUGGAUUAAACAAGUUGAUAGUGUGCUGGAUCUGUUGACGCAGGCCGGCAGUGAAUCGAGCAACCAACUGUCGUUCUGAAUCUUGAAUAUCAACUCUUGUAAGCAGCAAAAAAAAUUCUUGGGAAUAUUCAGCAACUGAACGAGUUCCUUGACGAAUAUGAUGUAGUCGUUGGAACAUUAGCUGAUCAUAGUUGUAAGGCAAGAAUGUCUUUUUAAGUUUUGAUUUAAGCUUAUCCCAUGACAUGAUCUUGGGUUUUCCAAGGCGGGCUCGUGUAGUUUUUAGUUGUAUCCACCAUGCUGCUGCUCUGUUGCGGAAUCGCAUUGUUAACAACGGAACACAACGUUCCAUUGGUGCUCUCUUGAAUUCAAGAAUUUCUUCAACUGUGACUAUCCAAUCGAGAAGUUCUUCGGCGGAUGAGUUGCCAUGGAACUCUGGAAUCUCUGUUUUGAAUCCUGUUUCCCAUGGAACAACAGCUGCUGCACCGCGAAUGUUAUCUUGACCGAGUACACGGUCGUUGAGAGGAGCGAAGGGGUUCACAUGUUCUGCUGCUGCGGCGGCAAAUAGGUUUGCUUCGUCAUCGUCUUCUGCAUCGUUGUUGCUCGCACGUUCAACAUUAUCGCGAACUGGUGGUUGUUGUUGAACAUUAAGGUUGUGGAGGGCGGCGGCGAUAGUUUGCAUCUGAGCCUGAAGCUCAGCGAUUGCAUCACGGGUGAUUUCUGCUUCGGUUCGAACAGGUGCUCGUCGAGGUCUUGCCAUGGUGAAUGGAAAAAAUUUUCGAGGAGCGUAGCAAAGCUCUGAUACCAACCUGGCGCAGCGUAUCAACGGUAACUCAGCUCAAAUCUAAAGAUUUAGGUUAAAUCUUUAGAGACCUGACUUCUUGAAUCGAAGAACUUAAUCAAAUUCGAUACAAGGCUCUCGUAUUGACGACAGAAUCGAAUCAAUGCAAGGCUUUAGAGAAACUCUAGUUUAUUAUCUUUCAAAAACUACUUAUCAAAGCAAACUUACAAUCCCUUAUAUAGGAUCCUAGAGACGGUUUAUAAUAACCUAACUCUGUUAAAAAUAGGAAAUCUAAUAAAAGGAAUUCAUAACUAGAAAAGGAAAUCUUCAAAAAACCGAAAUAGAAAAAACAGUUGCUUGGUGGUGAAGGUAUCAUGAUGCUGCAUCAGGUUGUCUAAGCAUUUUGUUAAGUCAUUCAUCAAAAUCGAACCAACUAUAUAUACACACAACAUGACGCAUGUGAUGAGGUACAAUUACAUGGUUUUGUGGAAAUAGAUAUGGAGGUAAUUAAGUAAUGAUGUGUGUUUUGUGUAAGUUACCUUGGUGCGCAUGGAGAGAAGAGGAAGACCGGUGGCGUCACGGAGGACACGUUUACGGCGGAUGUUCCAUGUACCACCGUCGAUGGUGAAGAUGAGAUUGUCCGAUAGAUCGAAGACGUCAAAACGAUCCCUUUUGAGG
rnacentral:lncRNA from 1 species